UGGGGAAUAUUGCACAAUGGGGGAAACCCUGAUGCAGCGACGCCGCGUGAAGGAAGAAGUAUCUCGGUAUGUAAACUUCUAUCAGCAGGGAAGAUAGUGACGGUACCUGACUAAGAAGCCCCGGCUAACUACGUGCCAGCAGCCGCGGUAAUACGUAGGGGGCAAGCGUUAUCCGGAUUUACUGGGUGUAAAGGGAGCGUAGACGGUGUGGCAAGUCUGAUGUGAAAGGCAUGGGCUCAACCUGUGGACUGCAUUGGAAACUGUCAUACUUGAGUGCCGGAGGGGUAAGCGGAAUUCCUAGUGUAGCGGUGAAAUGCGUAGAGAUUAGGAGGAACACCAGUGGCGAAGGCGGCUUACUGGACGGUAACUGACGUUGAGGCUCGAAAGCGUGGGGAGCAAACAGG
rnacentral:rRNA from 1 species